rnacentral:tRNA from 1 species
UCCCAUAUGGUCUAGUGGCUAGGAUUCGGCGCUCUCACAGCCGCGGCCCGGGUUCGAUUCCCGGUGUGGGAA